ensembl:lncRNA
GCCAUCUAAAUGUCUGGUACAUUAUGAACACACAUAUAUGAAUAUCUUCUGAAAAUUAGAAAGUGAAUGAGUGCAGUCAGUUGACACAAAUCAAGUCACCUCAUUUAAAUCCUUUUAAUGUCCUUCCGUCAGAAGGACCUUGCUCCUCCUCGUCCUGUAUUGACCAAAUACUCUGCUGACAACAAUUGUUCUGCAGUUACUAACAGCAGCAUUUGAUAUUGUUGGAUUUGGGCUCAUGGCCAGACACAUCCCAUUCAGAGGAGAGUCGUACUACUACAGGGACACAGAGUUCUUAGUGAAUGGAAUCUUGGUGACACUGAUCGGUUUCCUGAUGCUGGCAUGUGCCAUUGGUUUGGUUGUUUCUCUUUUUGGGGUCUACACCCUUUCUGUUAGUGCCAUAAAGGAGAUGACGCCCAUCCCUCACUCUACAGCAAACCAACAUUAUGGUGUUGGUGUUCAGACCCAGAAAACGAUCCAUGCUGGAAACUGAUAAAAUAAGAGGCAGAAGGGCACAGUUUUAGCACAGUUUUUCGGUUUUUCGCCAACUGCAAAAGAGGACUGUUUCACCUACAAACCACUCACAGGUAACCAACCACAACCACAACAACAGGAAAAAAAAAAAACUUUUGUGAAGUUGUAAAUAAUUUUUUGAAAGUAAAAUGGAUAAAAUCUCGUUUUUUGCUUGGCUGUUGCUCUCACAGGCUGUAGGACUGCUGUAAUUUCGAAAGCUCAACUUAAUAGUUAUUCGUACCUCAUUCAUUUUCGCUCUUACAAACUGAAGCUUCUUAGCAUGAAAUUCUAAUCAAAUGUCUACCCAGAAAUCUAGUGUUAUUGAUGUAUGUUAGAUGGGUAAGUGUGUUCAUCGUUGUUAGGGUAUGUGAAAUUAAGUAUGUAGCAGAAACAGAAAAGGAAUUAUGGUGAAUGUGGACUGUUAGAAGGUUCUGUAAUUGCGUCUUGUUUCAUAACAUUUUGUACCACCUUUUGCAUGAAUCUUUAUAUCGGUCAACAUGUUUGUUUUAGCCACAUGAGGACAUUUAUCAAGUUGAUAUUUGUUCGUUUGAAUUGCAAUUUGAAAAUGAACACUUGAAACCAUAAAAAUGUAACAACACUGUAAGCAAGCCAAAUUAUUUUAUAUAUAUAUAUGCUUACAACAACAACAAAAAAUCCUUUAAAUAAGAGCCUUGAUAAAUGUGGCCCAUGUUCAGUGAAACUCCUCUGAAGCAGAGUAAUGUGAAUUUAAACACCAGUGAAUAACUAAACAGCAUCGCUUGGCUUUUUUGUCAUCUCGUUUAAUCCGUGCUGAUUCUUCAGGAAAGCUAUGAUGACUGCCAACUCUGUAAGUGCCACCACUUGUGACCAAAAUCAUGGACACCCUUAUGACUAAAGGUCAGAGGUUGAACCCUCAGUCAAGGGCUCGACUUUGGUGAUGUAAAAUCCUCUUGUGGAAGCAUGUGUCGUCCGUUCUGUGUCUGUAGAUCUUUGUCUUUAUGACAGCAUGUGAGAUUUACAUUGUGCCUGUUCUCAGUGAACUCUUGACGUGUAGUAAAAUGAAAACAAGUAGUAUGUAGUAAUAUGGCUGUGUUUGUGUUUGUAUUUGACUGAAUGAUAUUUCAAAUAAACUUGAUUUAAUACACAAUCUGAUGUUGUCUUGUUAGAGUUUUUUUCACAGUGCA